CAAGAUGAGCCUCUACAUAUAUAGCGUCAGGAACAUUCUCCCCUAUCCGAUGUGGGACAUCACAAAGAUGAUGUGAUGUGUCAGUUAUUUGUUCCCUUUUAGCAAGUAUUUUUAAUGUUAUGUUUGUUCCAUAUAAUAAUUCUGGUCCAAAGUUAAUUUUUUUUUUUUUUUUUAUCCACUGUGCAGUCAAAGUGUCAUCCACCACUGGGCUUUUCUAGUUUUAUUCUAGGUUUCUGUUAUCUGGUCUAUGCAAAUAAGAUGGUUGGUUGAGGUUUCUUCAAGGAGUGGUGGGUUAUUUCAGCAGAUGCUCAGAAAUUAUAGCAGGUCAUUCAAAAGUUCUUUCUGUAUUUUGGUUUUGGGAGUAUUGGGUGGAUCAGGACCUCCUUAGGUGCAUGUGGGAAAAUGUGCACUCUUACUAUUAAUUGGGCUUUGGGUGAUACAAAAUUAUUUUUAGAAGGCUCUCUUCAGGGUGAAGAACUUUUAUAAAGCUACAAGUUCCUAUGACUGUUGUAGCAUCUUCCCUUGUCCACUGUCUCCACCUGCUAGGGCUCUAUUAUUUGGAGUAAGGGACUUUGGUUUUUGGUAGAGAAUGUGCAUUUUAGCUUUAUUUUGGUCAUUUGUAAAGUAUAGUUGGAAAUUUUUAAUAGAUAAAAUUAAGGACUAUAUUGGUAGAUUCUGGUUUUAUCAUUCAUGUGGGUUCUCUGAUCCUAGGUUUCACACACUUCUCUUUUUUAGGGUGAUUGAAUGUCACUUACUUGAUGCUUUGUUAUCAUAUCAAAUGCACUAGUUUAGUAGUCUUGUAAGCUCUUUUGUAUCGAGAUUCUCUAUUUUAAUCUUGUGUAGAAAAAUGGUGAUUAAUUAGUUUGUUAAAAUUUUCAGAUACAAGAGCCCUUCAGGCUUGGCUCAAGUGGUAAAGGGUUGGGGAAGUUUUAUGGGAGGUUCCAAGUUGAAGUCCCAAUGGGGACAAGAAAAAUGGAAAAAGGAAAAAAAUUACCUAAAAAAGAAUAUAUCAGAUACAAGAGCCAAGUUCUUUGUGCUGUGUUUAAAUUGCUAUGAAAUUGUCUCUUUUGGCUUGGAGUCCUCGCCCAUGAUGAAGGUUGAGAUUGAGGAGGACACUGAUUAAAUGAGUAGGGAACAAAGAAGUGGAGUAUCAUGGAAGCCUUUCACGUCAAUUAAAUGGGUGAUGAUGCUAUGAAAUGUAUCACAUUUUCUAACACACUGCUGCUUGAUGAUGCUAUGAAAUGUAUCACAUUUUCCAACACACUACUGCUUGAGGAUGAAGAAGAGGAAAAUUCAUUAAAUCCCUCUUCUCAGUCUAUUAGGUUUGUUUAUUUCUCAGAAAGAAUGAAAAUGAGAGAAUGUUUUAAGAUUUAAAUCAAUUUUUAAGCGCUACCCCCUCCUUUCCAAGAACCAAAUGAACCCUUAGCAAGGAAAGAGAAUUAUAGAAAUAGGGUGGUAAGUGGCAAAAUGCACUUAUGGUCUAACAAAAUUGUCUUCUUUCAAUUAGGCCUGUUUAAGUUUGAAGGUGCACAAGAGAUAUUAUUUGAUUUAUAGAAACAUGGGGAAAUAACUGCUUGUUUCUGCCUGUUUUAAGUGUAACUUUGUGGAUAUCAAUUUGUGUUCUCAGUUUGUGUUUUAUUUGUCUCAAAUAUUAAUCAUACUUUGAAGGGUGACAUGUUAAUAGGUGGCUGAUGCAAACAUUUGGGUCAAGAGGUUUGCCAAGUGUCUUAAUGAUUUAAGAAUCAAAAAAUUAUGUAAUGGACUCAAGAGGGAGGUUUGAAAUGCUUUCAAAUAAAUCUGUUAAUUAGCCAAUUAGGUAAAUUGUUGCAGCUUCUCUUUGAUGAUGAUGCAUUCGUAUAUAAUUGCUGUUAAUACUGAUCCAAAGUUCCAACUGUUUUUUUUUCCCUCUGAUGUAAAGCUGUGUGAUUCCUCCCAUGGCAUCGCCCCCACUGAAUAUGGUGUGGUUUUAAUUGUUGGUGAAUGAAAGCUUUUGUGAGGUUGUGUGAGUGAUACAUAUUGUUGCUUUAUGGUUAUUGGUUUAUUUGUAUGGUGAUGGUGGUGGCACAACAUCUUUCAUUGUUACCUGCGUUUGAAAUAUGGAUCCAGAGCCAUGUACUUGUGGCCCACACUGAUUACUCGAAAAUAUUCCUUGAACAGCAAAUGUGAUUUCUCAACUUCCUCUCUUAUGUAGUAAAAUAUACUCUGAGCAGGCAUUUUAUUUGCUUGUGACUUGUGUUAUGAAAUAUGUGCUUGACUGACUGGUUUUCCAUAAGAUCUCUCUGCCUGUGGUUAAAAUAUAUAUUCCUGAAGCAGUUUGGAAUGUUCCUCGAGUACCUUUGUAUAUUUGUUAGCAGGGUUCCGGUACGGUGAAUACUGAAUCAUUUCUUUCCUAAGAUAAAGAAAUGCCCCUUCUUAAUGUGCUCAAGGGCCUGAUCAAUGUUGCCAUGGAUUGACUGGAUUUCACAGACGAGGGAUAAUAAAUGUAUUUUUUUUUAAAAAAAGUAUCAAAAUCAAAAUUCAUACUGAAAUUUUUUAUUGUGAAAAUGUUUGAUUCCUAGUUGAACCAUUCAAAUUGUAAGCCGCUUCUCUCUCUCUCUCUCUCUCACUAAAUGAUUAUUGCAAUGAUGUUUAGAUUGGAAGCCAAAAUAUGACUUUUCUUCCUGAUUGUUUGAAUCUAUUGAUUCUGUUCAAAACAAAAGUUUGGACUUCUGGAAGCGGUUCUAGAUAGGAAGGGAUGGCUGUUGAUGAACAACCUCCCCCUGCAGUUUUAAUUUCAGUGAGAAAUGCAGGAGGGUGUAUAUAUAUUAAUAGCUUAUUGAAAUGUUCUCAUAGUCAUAGUGAUUUCAAUAUAUUUUUAGUUUGUGAGUUUAAAAAUUUUGUUUUUGGCUUUUCCUACAAGUUAGAGAUGAAAGAUGUUAAAAGCCGUGUUCUCAGCAUUGAGCAUUGAAGUGAAAGCCUGCCUCCUGUUUGGUCGCCGUGACAACUGAAUGAAACCAAAGGAAACUGGAAAAGGUUGGAAGUAGUAAUCUCAAUCAGGCACAGUAAGACCAGAGAUGAUGAUGAUGAAGGGGGGGAUUUUGGACACGUAACAGAGGUUUGGUGGUGGAAAAUCUGUCUUUUCAUUUUUAUGGUACGUGGGCAACCAUGCAAGUGCCACAUAAUACUGAUGAGUCGGCGACGGAUGAGUGUUAUUGAGUGGGAUGACAGCAGAGAAAAAGGGCAUCCUCCUCGCGUUUAAAGAGGGACUUUUCGUUUCCAAAUUCCACUCAUGUCCAUCUCACCGUCUGAAACUCCUCUACCACCUCGGCUGAGCAGCUUUCCAAAAUUCCCAUUUUCAAUGUGGUAUUUUCUUUUUAAUUCUUUUAUGGUCUCUCCCCUUUAUUGUUGUUCUGGAAUUUGUUAAUUCACAUAUAGGAAUGGUCAUUCUUAACAUUUUUCA